AGUGGGGAAGUGUGCAUAGUGUCCCACGCAUAUGGGACAGUUUCUGCAAAAACUCAAAGGCUCAGAGAGGACUGAGACUGAUAGUCUGGCUGGAGAGUUGUGUACAAGGGGAUGGAAGGCUGAGAGAUGAGGCUGGCAAGGUUCGGUUGUCAGCACUGAAGAAAUCACACCAAGAAUGGUGCAGAGACCCAUGCAAGUGACCCGGGAAGAGGAAAACUCACUCAUGGGCAGACUCCCAGUUAAAUGGAAAGCAGAGUUAAAGAAGGACUGUGGGAAGAAUGAGAUCUUGAAAAAUCCAUCAGCAAUUUUGGGACAGUAACAUCUGCACAGAUGAUUUUUUUUUUUUUAACCUGAGAGAAAGGAGGCAGAGGGAGACACAAGUUGAGAGCUACUUUGGCACUCUGAGGACCAGACUAAAGUGUUUGCACUUUAGUGCUCAGCAAACACUGUCUGAGCACCUGUGUUUCUGUGGCCUCACCAGUCUCCCUGCUGUUCCUUGCCCUUACCAGGCAUGCUUCCCUACUCUGCCUUUAAUUUACAGUGGCACUGUCAUAUCAUAGCUCAUUGUAACCUUGAACUCCUGGGCCCAAGCAAUUCUCCCACUUCAGCCUCCCCAGAAGCUGGGACUACAGGCCUGCACCACCAAGCCAGGCUAAUUUAUUUUUCUCUUUUGGUAUAGGCGGGGUAUUGCUGCAUUACUCAGGAGGUCACUAACUCCUGGGCUCAAACCAUCCUCCCACCUUGGCCUCCCAAAGGGCUGAGAUUAAAAAUAUGAGCCACCACAUCCAUCCAGAGUUCCCUUUUUUAAUUUUUUUGAAGGCUUCCCCCCAAUCAGUAGCACCAUUGUCUUAGGUUAUUUUCUGUUGCUGUAACAUAUACCACAGAUUGGGUAAUACACAAAGAAAAGAAAUUUAUUUCUUACAGUUCUGGAGGCUGUAAAGUCCACGACUUGUAAGGGCCUUUUGCUGGUGGGGACUCUUGAGCAGACUGAGUAUGCUAGCUCAAUUCUCUCGUCCUCGUCUUAAAAAGCCACUAGUCCCAUUCCUGUAGCAACCCAUUAGUCCAUCAACCCAUGAAUCCAUGAAUGGAUUUAUCCAUUUAUGAGGGCAGAGCGCUCGGGACCCAAUCACCUCUUAAAGACCUCAACUCUGAAUAUUGCUACACUGGGGAUUAAACUUCAACAUAAGUUUUAGAGGGGACAGAUAUUCAAGCCAUAGCAACCAUUUAGCAAACGCAUAAAUGAGCUGAAAUUGUGGUGACAAGAGGAGGCACGUCACCCCGGAAAGGACCCUGUUUCAUUGUUCUUUGUUUUUAUUUUUUAUUAAGAUUGUUUUUUAGUGAUGAGGUCUCUCCAUGUUCCCCAGGCUGGCCUUGAACUCUUAGCCUCCAGUGAUCCACCCUCCUCAGCCUCCAAAAGUGCAGGAAUUGCAAGUGUGAGCCACCAAGUCCAGUUUAGCUCAUUCAUCGUUGUACCCCAGUGCUAGGCACAUGGUAAGCAUUGAGGAAAUGUUGAAUGAAUGAAUAUUAUUAUUAUUAUUUUUUUUUUUUUUUUUU